UUCUUUAAGAAAUAAAUUUAAAGUAAAACCUGCUCAAUGAAAUUAUAAAUAGCCGCAGUCACCCUGUGCUAAGGUAGCAUAAUCACUUGCUUUCUAAUUAAAAGAUAGUAUGAAGGGUUAAACGAUAGACCACUACAUCUCAAAAACUUAAUAAACCUAAUAUUCAAGUAAAAAAGCAUGAAUAAAAUAACAAGACGACAAGACCCUACUAAACUUAAUAUUCAGUUGGGGCAACAAACUAAUAAUACUUUAUAUACACAUAAUAAUAUAACAUAUCAUAAAAAUAAUCACAUGACCAGUUACUAUAGGGAUAACAGCGCAAUUUCUUUCCAGAGAUCCCAUCCAAAAAGAAGAUUACGACCUCGAUGUUGAAUUAAUUUAACUAAACGGUGCAAAAACCUUAAACAAGUUGGUUCUGUUCGACCAUUAAAAAAUU
rnacentral:rRNA from 1 species